rnacentral:rRNA from 1 species
UGAGGAAUAUUGGGCAAUGCCCGCAAGGGUGACCCAGCAACGCCGCGUGGAGGAUGAAUGUCGUAAGAUUGUAAACUCCUGUUAGAGGAGAAGAAUAGUACCGGUUGGACCGGUAUAUGACUGUACCCUCGGAGAAAGCCCCGGCUAACUACGUGCCAGCAGCCGCGGUAAUACGUAGGGGGCAAGCGUUGUCCGGAUUUACUGGGUGUAAAGGGCGCGCAGGCGGGAUAAAAAGUCAGUGGUGAAAUCCUACAGCUUAACUGUAGAACUGCCUUUGAUACUUUUAUUCUUGAGUUCGGGAGAGAGAGACGGAAUUCCAGGUGUAGUGGUGAAAUACGUAGAUAUCUGGAAGAACACCAGUUGCGAAGGCGGUCUCUUGGUCCGACACUGACGCUGAGGCGCGAAAGCGUGGGGAGCAAACA